rnacentral:tRNA from 2 species
UAGAUUGAAGCCAGAGUUUAGGGUGUUUAGCUGUUAACUAAAGUUUCGUAGGUUUAAUUCCUGCCAAUCUAG